rnacentral:lncRNA from 1 species
CUUGUCCAGAGCAGCUCUUUGCUCUGUCAUAGGAUAGACUGAAAAAAUUGAGACAUCCUGAUCAAGUACAUAUCCAAUCUUUUCAUAUGUCAGGACUAUUCUUAGAUUUUUGAGCCAGUCCUUAAAAUUUAUGUAAAUCAGAUGGUUGGUUUCAAAUAUGCAGGCUAGAGGGUUAGAUAUCAAUAUUGUUUAUCUACGAGAGUAGAGAU